GAAGGUCCUGAGGUUGAUCCUACCAUUGUGACACAUGAUGCAAAGGAUUUGUACAAAGCUGGUGAGAAAAGGCUGGGUACGGAUGAGAAGACCUUUAUCCGUGUUUUCACUGAACGCAGUUGGGCACACUUGGCAUCUGUUUCUUCUGCUUACCAUCAUAUGUAUGACCGGAAAUUAGAGAAGGUAACACUUCUGUUCUGUACACUUCUGGAAUAAGCAUUUUUUUUUAUUCUCUGGAAUUUUUCACAGUGUUCUUUAUAUAUGAUAGGUUGUCAAGAGCGAAACAUCUGGAAACUUUGAAUUUGCACUUUUGACUAUCCUCAGAUGCGCGGAAAACCCAGCGAAGUAUUUUGCUAAGGUACUGCACCCAUGCUGUUUUCAGUAAAGAAAUAUUGUAGCUUUUGAAAUUCUGUGCAGGCACCAUAGGUAUAUAAAAUCACUGAUUGUUUUAGAGUCAAGUUAUGUCUUGCUGAUAGCCGUAGCCAACAGCUGUUCUUCUUUCUCAUGAAAUUAUAAUUUAACAUUUGGUGAAGCAAAGAUCACUUGUUGAUAUGACACUGAUAUAAAGUUUGCUGUACCAUCUAGAGUUGAUCUUUGUAUAUUUUAUUUCUUAUUUUAAUUAUAUGUAAGUUGCCACCAUUCCAAAGCGUUAUUUUCUGCUAAUGCUGUGAAAUGAGCAUGUUCAGGAUUGCUCAUCUUUGGUGCCCAUGAGUCCCCUCCUAGACUGUCCUAGCUGCCUUUUUCAUUUGGCUCCCCAGUAUCUUAUGGGAAUGCUGCUGCCCUGAUAGAAUAUGCUAUUACCAUGAGAUCACAUGGUGCUAUGUUUUAUGUAUGCAUGUUACUUUCUAUGCAGAUUUUAGGAUAGCAUCCUUGAUCAACUUUUACUUUUUAACAAAUCUUGUAAUCUUUGUUAAACCUCUUAUGUUUACCACUGUAGAAUCUAAUGAUAGUUUAAGACCUCUGUUUUCUUAGUUUGAUACUUGCAACAUGACCAAUUUUCUCUUAAUGACAUGAAUACAGCUCUUACGAAAGGCCAUGAAAGGUUUAGGCACCGAUGAGAAGACACUUACAAGGGUCGUGGUGACGAGGACUGAGAUUGACAUGCAAUAUAUCAAGGCAGAGUACUUCAAGAAGUAUAAGAAGCCAUUAGCUGAGGCUAUCAACUCCGAAACAUCAGGAAACUAUCGGGCGUUCCUUCUUUCACUUGUUGGUCA
rnacentral:lncRNA from 1 species